rnacentral:rRNA from 1 species
CCUACGGGUGGCUGCAGUGAGGAAUAUUGGUCAAUGGGAGGAAUCCUGAACCAGCCAUGCCGCGUGCAGGACGACGGCUCUACGAGUUGUAAACUGCUUUUGUACCGGGGUAAAAUGCUCUACGAGUAGGGUUUUGAAAGUACGGUACGAAUAAGGAUCGGCUAACUCCGUGCCAGCAGCCGCGGUAAUACGGAGGAUCCGAGCGUUAUCCGGAUUCAUUGGGUUUAAAGGGUGCGUAGGCGGACAGUCAAGUCAGCGGUAAAAAUGCGGUGCUCAACGCCGUACAGCCGUUGAAACUGGCAGUCUUGAGUGGGCGAGAAGUAUGCGGAAUGCGUGGUGUAGCGGUGAAAUGCAUAGAUAUCACGCAGAACUCCGAUUGCGAAGGCAGCAUACCGGCGCCCGACUGACGCUGAGGCACGAAAGCGUGGGUAUCGAACAGGAUUAGAUACCCUUGUAGUC